AGAGUUUGAUCAUGGCUCAGGACGAACGCUGGCGGCGUGCUUAACACAUGCAAGUCGAACGAUGAACCACUUCGGUGGGGAUUAGUGGCGAACGGGUGAGUAACACGUGGGCAAUCUGCCCUGCACUCUGGGACAAGCCCUGGAAACGGGGUCUAAUACCGGAUACUGACCCGCUUGGGCACCCAAGCGGUUCGAAAGCUCCGGCGGUGCAGGAUGAGCCCGCGGCCUAUCAGCUUGUUGGUGAGGUAAUGGCUCACCAAGGCGACGACGGGUAGCCGGCCUGAGAGGGCGACCGGCCACACUGGGACUGAGACACGGCCCAGACUCCUACGGGAGGCAGCAGUGGGGAAUAUUGCACAAUGGGCGAAAGCCUGAUGCAGCGACGCCGCGUGAGGGAUGACGGCCUUCGGGUCGUAAACCUCUUUCAGCAGGGAAGAAGCGAAAGUGACGGUACCUGCAGAAGAAGCGCCGGCUAACUACGUGCCAGCAGCCGCGGUAAUACGUAGGGCGCGAGCGUUGUCCGGAAUUAUUGGGCGUAAAGAGCUCGUAGGCGGCUUGUCACGUCGGUUGUGAAAGCCCGGGGCUUAACCCCGGGUCUGCAGUCGAUACGGGCAGGCUAGAGUUCGGUAGGGGAGAUCGGAAUUCCUGGUGUAGCGGUGAAAUGCGCAGAUAUCAGGAGGAACACCGGUGGCGAAGGCGGAUCUCUGGGCCGAUACUGACGCUGAGGAGCGAAAGC
rnacentral:rRNA from 1 species